AGUCAAAGCAGCUGGUUCCCAUAAGUGUUAGUUACAAAAAACUAAUCACAGUUAGUUCUGAUCUUCUCACUUUGUGCCAUCACAUCUAUACAUACCAUUCUUGUUAAUGCAUGGCUACUGUAGUGUGAUGCCUUUCCACUGCCCAAGUAACUAGGAAAUAAGACCAUCCUUUAGGUUAGGAGUUGCAAACUCAAAUGACCUCAGAGAACAGGUAGAUGAAGCGCAU
rnacentral:lncRNA from 1 species